rnacentral:lncRNA from 1 species
GAUAAAUAUGUCUUUAGACUUUCAAAAACCCUUUGAUGCUCUCCUUUCCAAAUGAAUUCGUCCUGAUUUUUCAACUUUAAAAGUGGCGAAAAAGCUUUGGUUCGCCCUGCACAAUUAGAAAUAAAGCGUCUUAAAAAAUUUACUUGGCCUAGAAACCUUUGCAAUUCCUUUUUAUUGCUAGGUGAUUUGGCCUCUAAAAUAGCCUUUACUUUAUUUUUAUCAAAUUCAAUCCCCCUUUUGUGUACUAAGAAACCAAGGAAAUUUCCUGCAUUAACGCCAAAUGCACAUUUCAAAAGGUUUAAUUUUAGUUUAUAUUACCUCAUUCGCUCAAAUGAAUAUCUCAAUUGUUCAAAAUGGUCCUCUUCUUUAAUGGAUUUGACCACUAUAUCAUCUACAUACACCUCAACAAACUUGCCUGUCAUAUCAUGAAAAAUCAAGUUCAUUGCCCUUUGAUAAGUUGUUCCUGCAUUUUUUAGGCCGAAGGGCAUAACUACCCAUUCAAAACAUCCUAGAGAUCUAGGGCAUCUAAAUGCAGUUUUGUGUAUAUCUUUCUCAGCUAUAUAAAUUUGAUUGUAUCCCGAAUACCCAUCUAUGAAGGAAUAUAUUACGUAUCCAGCAGUCGAAUCUACUAAAGAAUCUACCAUAGGCAUUGGAUAUUCAUCCUUAGGUGUGGCUAUAUUUAAAUUCCUAAAGUCUAUGCACACCCUUAAUUUACCAUUCUUUUUUAGCACUGGCACGAUAUUGGACAACCAAUUCACAUAUCUGACUGUUCUAAUAAAGCCUACUUUUAAUAAUUGCUCUAUUUCUUUCUUAAUCUCCGGAAGUACAUUAGGAGCAAAAUGUCUAGGAGGUUGCUUAUGAUGCUUAAAAUUUAGUUUGGUUGGCAAUCUAUGUUCUACUAAAUCCCUAUCUAAACCAGGCAUAUGUUCAUAUUCCCAAGCAAAACAACCCUUAUACUCUUUUAAUAAAGCGAUUAAUUUAUCAUUAACCUCUUGAUCGAGCAUCUGACUGAUGAAGGUAGGGCGAUCUUCCCCUUCAUUGCCAAUAUUCACUUUAAUCAGAGGGUCUUGUACUUGAGCGUAUCCAGGCUUGGUGAUCCCCAUUACUUCAUCAUCCAAUUCCGUUAUAUGCACUUCUUCUUCUAAACAAUCCACCUUGUUGACUUCUCGGCCAAUAUUUUGUUCCAACUCGAGCACUGCCAAUUUGUCUCUCAAUGCUUUCAAGGCUGCUUCUUCUUUCGUCUUGUCCUUGCAUUCUUUAUUGAAAGUUAUUAAUUUGGCUUUGAAGGCCUGAAUAUCGACCAUUUGCCUUUGUUGCUUACAACUCAUUUAAAACUCCUUGAUUACUCUUUUGCCAAUUACUGGCUCUUCCAGGGUCAUUAUGUUUGGCCUCAUCUGACCGAUCACUUCAGUGAGUGCAUCCACCGAAAACGGCUCUUCACUCUGUGUGAUAAUUUGAGUUUCUUCUCCAUCUUGGACUACUCUGAUAGGUCCAUAAUUUCCUUCGUACAUGAACCUUUCUACUGAGUUUGCUUCUGCGACAAAAAGUCUAUGAUCGACCUGCAUGACUUCUGCUUCACCUUUGUCAUUCCAGAAAACCAGGCAUUGAUGGAGCGAUGAGGGUAUACAGCAACUUCCGUGUAUCCAAUCCCUUCCUAAUAACACAUUGUAACUAGUAGGACCAUCUAUUACAAAGAAAACUGUGGUCCUAGUAGUUGUCCCUAUAGUUAUGUCCAAUGGCAUAACCCCUUUAGUUGAAGUUGCUCCUCCAUUGAAACUCGUAAGGACGACUUCUGUUGGAAUCAUAUCGCUUUCUGUCUUUGUAAAUUUCUUCAUCAUCCUAGAUGGAAUGGUGUUUAUAGGUGCUCUAUUGUCGACAAGCACUUUUGCCACAGGUAUGCCGUUAACUAGAGCUUUAACGUACAAUGGCCUCAAGUGUUUAGUUAACUUCAUGGCUGGCUGCUUAAAAAUAACCUUUUCAGCAGCAUCUAUUUCCACUUCCUGCUUGUCCUCUGUCGAGUUAUCCUUUUGUGAGAAGUCAACGUGCAGCAUGUCGUACUGAACUUCCGUUUCCUAUAUUUCCUUUUUACUGUUUUCUAAUACUUCUUCUUCAGUUACCCAACCUGUGGGAGGAGGCAUUAUUCUUGGAGGUGAUCCAUACUUUUCAGAGCGGGAACUCUCUUUUUCCUUUUGGGCAUCCCAUACAGCACGUAAUAAUCGAAAGAACUCCUAAACGGCUCCCCCAACAAGUCCACUUCACGAACCCCCUCUCGAUGUAGUUGUUUCAACAGAGUAUUGUACGAUACUCCUCUUUUUCUUCUUUCUGCUUUCAAAUCAAUUUCCUCUUCGAUAUCCAUCAUACCAUCAUCUCCUUCAUCAUCGUAGGCCCCUCUAGAAGUUUGGCCUUCUUCAUAUUCCAGCACGCAUGCUUCUUCUUCGUUAUCCUCCCCCUCUUCUUCUUCUUUCUUUUUAUUCUUGAACUCAUUGGCUAGCAAAUAGUUAUUAGCCAUGACAGGAGGUAACGUACCGAACUGAAUAGUAAGGGACUGAUCUGGAUAUUCUCCAUCUCUUCUGUCUCGCUCAAACUUUGACCUCCCAGAAGAACUUUUUGGAAAUUCUUUCAUCGAUUCACCUGUACCGGUCUCUACACUGUCUUCGAGAAUAUUUUGAUUGGCCACCUCGAGUAGCUUAAGCGCCUUAAGAUGUGGCAUUCCCUAUUGUUGCCUCAUCAUUCGUCCAUAGUUCCAUUGAAAACGCCUUUGUUAGGUUCUAGUCAUCUCGUUGAAGGGUAUCGCCCUUCCUACAUUAUACUGGAAUGAAUACCAUACAUUUGGUUGGCGAGGCUGCGGCCUGAAUAUUCUCCCAUUAUUCACUGGCUUGAACUACCUCUCAAAAGGCGGUCCCCUAUAGAACGAUGUACCUCGCCCUCUACAAGGUUGAGCGUUUGGGAAAAAACUAGGGCGACGGUGAUGCUGCCAUAUCCCUAGUUUCUCUGUAUUCCCACUCACUUCUUUUUUACAUCUUGCACACAGGACGUCUUCAUCAUUUUCAGGCUAUUUCCCUUUAAUACAUUCAAAGACACUGGGAUGUGGUCCAGGGUCCUCUUCCUCAUCAUCUAUAACUGACUUGAAUUUUGGCAACUUGUUUUUGAAACCAGUCGUCACGAUGUUCACCCCAAGUGGCUGUGGAAAAAGGGUUUUCAUCCACUGCCAUCUUCCUCUUAUCAUUGAACGUAAUUCGUCCUGAUUCUAUGGCAUCCUGUAACACAUGGCGAAAAACCAAACAGUUAUUAGUCAAAUGUGACCAUACAUUAUACCACUUACAAUAUUUUUGACCCUUAACAUGUUCAGGGUUUGACAAUUUAUGUUUAUCGCUCAACUUUAUCUGCUUAUCCUUAUAUGGUUUAUCAAAUAUGAGGUCAGCUUUGGUUACAUCGAACGAGAAUGUUCUAGCCUUUUUAUUUUCAUCUUUUAUAGGCUCAUCCUUACCCGACGGUCUAGGCUUAGCCAUUAUAGGACAAGUGUACGUGUCUCCUUUGAUUAGUUUGGCCAAACACAUUUUGGUUUGAUCGUAAUACUCAUCAUUAAUGGUAUGAACAUCAAAAUUUGGGUCUCUAUAAUAAGUCCAUUUGCUAGAAUUUUUCAUUUGCUCUUCUUCUCUUAUUAAUCGUUCAUACCUAAUCACAUUCGCGCUCAAUUGCAAAAGAUCGAGAAAUUCCUUGUCUUGCAACUUCUUUUUCAAAUCAAAGUUUAGACAACCUUGAGCGAUUUUGACAAACUCCUUUUCGGGCAAAGGUACAAAACAUUUACUUCUUGCUAUCUUGAACCUUUGAAGGAAACCUUCUGCUCAUUCAUUUGACAUUUGACGUAGAUUCGUCAAAUCGACCAAAGUAACUUCGGACUCAGUCUUAUAAAACUGAGCGUGGAACAAUUGCUCCAAUUGUUGCCAUUUUGAACAGAGUUCACUGGCAAAUUGAUGAACCAGUAGAAAGCUACUCCUGUUAAUAAACUAGGGAACAGCCUCAUUUUAUGGUAACCAGUUACCUCACCACUUUGCAGCAUGAAUCACCCUAUGUGUUCUCGAGUAGACACCUCUCCUAAACCGAUAAAUAGUGAGAAUUCUGGCACUUUAUACCCUCUAGGCCAUGGAUAUACUUGAUCUACCCAAUCAGAAUAUGGCUUGUGUAAGUCGGCCUAAUGAUAGGACGUACCCCAAAAGCCAUCUGAUCCUGUACUAUUUCCAUAAUUUGAUUCCUCAACAUAACGUUGGGGUCAUAUGGAAUUCCUACAUGUUGGUUGACGGGUUGAUUUGCUAGGGGCCUGAUAUUUGGUCCUUGGUUGGCAACAAAGUUUCCAUGAUUUGGGUCAUUGUUACCAUUAGUCUGAAUAUUUAUUCCAUCAUUAACACGUGGGGCAUUAUGUCAAUUAUUUAGGACAUUGUCUCUUAUGUUUAGGUUAGCCCCUAAGUUAGAUGUACCAUUGCCACUAUUCUGAUUUGGCAUUACACCAUCCCCUGAUUUGAAGUAGAGAGACCAAAAGGUGGUUCUACCCUUUGAUUUGGACUUAAGAUUGGGGAAUUAUGUCCCACAAUUGUCCUAAUUUGAAAAUGAUUUGCAAGAGGCACAACUGGCUGACAAAUUUGGCCUACCAACUUAUUCAUUAUUUCGUUCAAAGUAUUCAGUUGUUUGGCCAUGUUGUCAUAAUGUGCAUUCCCACUUUGGGUAAAUCUUUAUAUAUUAUGAAUAUUUCGUAGAUUUAUCUGUUCAAUGACAUCCCGUGUGAGUUCUCCAAGUAAUGCACGCAUGUUUCGAGGACUCAACUCUGUCAUUGGUUCGUAACGACUGUGACUGUUCUGACUUUGUCCAUCUGUUCAUGGAGAGCUAUGCUGCUCCUCAUAUCGCUCGACCACAGACUGGACUCCUCCCUGACUUGCUUCCUUAUCAGAUUUCUGAGGCAUAUUGUUUCACCUUUUGUAUCUUCAACACCAAACACCAAUGUCCCACUGGGCGUGCCAAAUUAUUUCGCGCGGGUAGUCGCUAACAAUUAAAAAGGGAUCAGACGAUUGCAUAAGAAACAAACCUCUUGAGACAAAGUCCCAAAAAUGGGUGUUUUAUUGGUGAUUAAUUUACAAUUGAAACUAAACAGAAUGCCUCCAAGGGGCGCAAGCACACGAGUACUGAAAAGAAAUGUUUAAGUCUAAAUUAAAAAAUUGAAAUUACAUAUUCUCUGUUUGAGAGUGUUCGAUUCGGGGGUCUCUCUGCUCUAUGUCUUCUCUUCCUUUUAUAUUUCCUUGAUGAUUUUUUCGUGAUCAACCGCUUAGAAACUGCUUGAUUAUAUUACAACUACACACUUUCUUUAUGGUGGCUAACUUGUCGUGGAACUGUCGUCUCUAACUGCUGCCACUACUCUUUGUCAUUCAACCGUCUUCAACUGAACUCCUUGAAUCGCGGAACGUGAUAAGGUUACUCAAUAACUGUUUCAAUAACUGCACUUCUGGAUAACCAUAACAUUCUUAUGUUUGCUAAGGUCCUGGGCGAUUCGAAGGUUUGGGCGAGAACAGGGUCAUAGCUCUGGACGACUGUAAGGCACUUCAUUUGCUCAGAUUUUGGGCGUCUUGCAAGCUUGGGCGAUGAUGUUUCCGUGUUCGUAGGCUUCCACUGCAUUCAUUAAUAAUCCUAUCUGGUCUUUAUCCUGAAUUGUCCAGUUGGACUUCAUUCCUUGGGCUAUUCGAUUUGGGCUGCACUUUUAGUGUGUCAACACACAUGCUAGUAAAUGUGUUGUGAUGACGAUUAAGUUUUUGAGGUAUAAUUAAUUGAUUUAUCGUUGGAUUUAUUCAGUACACUCUGUGCUUGUGGCUCGCGAUUAUAUUCUGUGCACAAUCGCUUGCUAACAUGAAGAAUGUUGAGAAAUGAGAAUGAUCUCAAGCAGAUCUCUAUGGCCAUGAUGGAAGCUACAACUUUUCAAGAACUCGUUUACACUUGUGCAUAUGUAAAUAUAUGCAGACAUCAAUUUUAUGAUCCAUAGAUGGUUUGAAAACUUUGGUCCCCUUGUUUUGGUUUCAGUUUAACAAGUAUGACUCAAAUAUAUGAUUCAUAGCUGCAACAUUUGAGAAUUUUAGAUCCUCUCCCAUUCGGGGGUGCUAGAUUGAUGAUGGAAGAGGGGAUUUUUCUUCUAAAUUUUUGGGAAAUACUACACAAAUCUGGAACUGGGAACUUGUAACAUUCUAUAUUUCUAUCUCUCUACAUGUUGCCGAAUUCCCAAUCUUAAGCCUUCAGCUCAAUGUUCUUUCAUUAGGAGUAUUAUGGGCUUACACUUGUGCAUCUAGCAUCUUUCAUGCUGCUUUAUCAUUAUAAGUUUCUUGAGGCCAACCAAGAGACAAUUUUCGGUUAAAACUAACUGCUUGUUACUGGCAUCAAUGAACUUCCUAUUGUUUUCAGCAAUUAUAUCUUCAAUGUAAAGCACUAGAAUCACUAAAGAACCUCGAAUCUUCUACACCACGGCUAGGUACUUCACGCAUUAUUGUAAGAACUAGCGUUUGAACCCCACGUGCACACUCACACAUCUUCCAAAUCCUCUUUAAGGAAUGCAAUUUUAACUUCCAUUCAGUGCAUUCUGGAUCCUUAUUCUUAACAAUUGAAUUUGGUAAAAUAAGUCGGACCUAAUUACAGACAGUGAGGCUGCUUGAUAAUCAAUUCCCUCAUUUUGGUGGAAGCCCUGGGCAAUAAGAUGAGUCUUUCAGCUUUAUCCCUAUUAUUAGAUCUAACAGUCUUAGAUCUUCAAGAUAGUUUACUGAUCGUCUUACAGAUGGGCUAUCUCUUCUCAUGCUUUAUUCUAUUUCUUACUAGCAGGUUUAGGCUCUUGGUCAUCACUAGAAGCUUUCACAAAGACAUUCCCUUUUUCUCAAUUAAACAAUAUGAGAUCCUAAUAUAGCUUUAUUUGAAUUCUUCUAUACAUAGUUCCACUUGAGCUCAUUCGCUGUAUCCAUAACUCAGUAAUUCACAGAUGCUAUGAAAUAAUAUUUUGUUCCUUAACUAGUUGAGUAAGUGCAACAAGAUUUAUAUCUUCCAGUUUUUAUGGUUUGAUACCUUCACAACAUCACACUAGGAAAGUCCUCUUCUAUCUGGCAUCACAUAACUGAUUUUUAUUAUAAUCUUUCAUCCUCUCCACCAGCAGUAAGCACAUAGCUCUUGCAAGGAUAAGACCAUAUGAUAAAUAUAUGUUUUUAUUUCUCUCCCUCUAAUCCUUCAUGUUCUCAUGAAAAGGCCCGUGAAUAUUGCUGAACCACGUGGCUGCAAAUUUAUAAAAUUAGGUUUUACAUCGUUAUAUAUUACUUUUUUUUUUUAUAGGAAAUGAAUUAUUAGAACAUCGUUAUAUGUUACUCAAGGAGUGGAAGAUACACAUUUUAAGCGCAUAAUUGAAAAUGGUUAAGAAUAUAGGCAACAGUUAAUAGGGCAUCUCCCCAACAAGAAAUGCAUAUUUUUACCUGGCGUUUUCAUUUUCCAAAACCACUCAAGGCUCCUGAGUUGUGGCUUCCAUCUUGCAAGGUUCAUCAGCCCUGCAUGCUUGUUUUUUGAGUGCCUUUUUUUAAGGCUUAUGCCCUUCACUUAGUGCGCCUCAUGACAUUAACAUCAGGGUGCUUGAAGUGUUAGCUCCUUAGACUAUGCUUUUUGGACUAAUCUUUUGCCAACCUCAGCUUUUUGGUUUGUCUUAGCUAAGAAGUCAUCAAAACACGUGAAGUGUAUUUUCAGUUAAACACAGUCUAACCCAUACAACGGGGAAGAUAUUUUAGAGAGGAGAACAAGCGAAGAGCUCAUGCAUGCCCUAGACUUUUGCUCCUUGCGACCCCAAGGAAAGUUGCAAAUUUUUGGUCGCACAUGAGACGUUUAAUUCACUUAUUUCGUUCCUUAUUUGGGUGAAACUAGAAACAAAUAGGGUUUGUUGCCUUUGGGUAGUUUGAANNN